rnacentral:lncRNA from 1 species
CAUUUUCAUGGAGUUGUGGGCUGUUGGAGACACGCUAGUGUAAAGGUCAAAGGUCAGUGGCACCAGACCCUGCAGAGAGGAACAGGACCAGUGGCACCGGACCCUGCAGGGAGGAACAGGACCAGUGGCACCAGACCCUGCAGGGAAGAACAGGACCAGUGGUCCAGCAGACCCUGCAGGGAGGAACAGGACCAGUGGCACCAGACCCUCUGCAGGGAAGAACAGGACCAGUGGCACCAGACCCUCUGCAGGGAGGAACAGGACCAGUGGUCCAGCAGACCCUGCAGGGAGGAACAGGACCAGUGGUCCAGCAGACCCUGCAGGGAGGAACAGGACCAGUGGCACCAGACCCUGCAGGGAAGAACAGGACCGGUGGUCCAGCAGACCCUGCAGGGAGGAACAGGACCAGUGGCACCAGACCCUGCAGUGAAGAACAGGACCGGUGGUCCAGCAGACCCUGCAGGGAGGAACAGGACCAGUGGUCCAGCAGACCCUGCAGGGAGGAACAGGACCAGUGGUCCAGCAGACCCUGCAGGGAGGAACAGGACCAGUGCACCGGACCCUGCAGGGAGGAACAGGACCAGUGGCACCAGACCCUGCAGGGAGGAACAGGACCAGUGGCACCAGACCCUCUGCAGGGAGGAACAGGACCAGUGGCACCAGACCCUGCAGGGAAGAACAGGACCAGUGGCACCAGACCCUGCAGGGAAGAACAGGACCAGUGGUCCAGCAGACCCUGCAGGGAGGAACAGGACCAGUGCACCGGACCCUGCAGGGAAGAACAGGACCAGUGGUCCAGCAGACCCUGCAGGGAGGAACAGGACCAGUGGCACCAGACCCUGCAGGGAAGAACAGGACCGGUGGUCCAGCAGACCCUGCAGGGAGGAACAGGACCAGUGGUCCAGCAGACCCUGCAGGGAGGAACAGGACCAGUGGGUACUGGUAACUGGUUCAGCAUCAUUGCCUAGUGUAAUGGUGCUGUGGUCCAAGUGGGGAAACCUUUAUAGGUCAUUCCUUUUAUAA